GUAGUAUUCCCUCCGUCCGGAAAUAUUUGUCAUCAAAAUGAAUAAAAGGGGAUGUAUCUAGAUGUAUAUUAGUUCUAGAUACAUCUUUUUUAUCCAUUUUGAUGACAAGUAUUUUUGGACGGAGGGAGUACUUG
rnacentral:pre_miRNA from 1 species